rnacentral:rRNA from 1 species
UACGUAGGGGGCAAGCGUUGUCCGGAAUUAUUGGGCGUAAAGCGCGCGCAGGCGGUUCGUUAAGUCUUCUGUUUAAGCCCCAAGCUCAACUUGGGUACGCAGAGGAAACUGGCGGGCUGGAGUGUAGGAGAGGAAAGUGGAAUUCCACGUGUAGCGGUGAAAUGCGUAGAGAUGUGGAGGAACACCAGUGGCGAAGGCGACUUUCUGGCCUAUAACUGACGCUGAGGCGCGAAAGCGUGGGGAGCAAACAGG